rnacentral:misc_RNA from 1 species
GCAGAAGACCCCAGCGUUU